rnacentral:rRNA from 1 species
AUUGAACGCUGGCGGCAGGCUUAACACAUGCAAGUCGAGCGGGGUGAUGGUGCUUGCACUAUCACUUAGCGGCGGACGGGUGAGUAAUGCUUAGGAAUCUGCCUAUUAGUGGGGGACAACAUCUCGAAAGGGAUGCUAAUACCGCAUACGUCCUACGGGAGAAAGCAGGGGAUCACUUGUGACCUUGCGCUGAUAGAUGAGCCUAAGUCGGAUUAGCUAGUUGGUGGGGUAAAGGCCUACCAAGGCGACGAUCUGUAGCGGGUCUGAGAGGAUGAUCCGCCACACUGGGACUGAGACACGGCUCAGACUCCUACGGGAGGCAGCAGUGGGGAAUAUUGGACAAUGGGGGGAACCCUGAUCCAGCCAUGCCGCGUGUGUGAAGAAGGCCUUAUGGUUGUAAAGCACUUUAAGCGAGGAGGAGGCUCUUUUGGUUAAUACCCAAGAUGAGUGGACGUUACUCGCAGAAUAAGCACCGGCUAACUCUGUGCCAGCCGCCGCAGUAA